GAUGAACGCCGGCGGCGUGCCUAAUACAUGCAAGUCGAGCGAACAGACGAGGAGCUUGCUCCUCUGACGUUAGCGGCGGACGGGUGAGUAACACGUGGAUAACCUACCUAUAAGACUGGGAUAACUUCGGGAAACCGGAGCUAAUACCGGAUAAUAUAUUGAACCGCAUGGUUCGAUAGUGAAAGACGGUGUUGCUGGCACUUAUAGAUGGAUCCGCGCCGCAUUAGGUAGUUGGUAAGGUAACGGGUUACCAAGGCAACGAUGCGUAGGCGACCUGAGGGGGUGAUCGCCCACACUGGAACUGAGCCACGGUCAAGACUCCUACGGGAGGCAGCAGUAGGGAAUCUUCCGCAAUGGGCGAAAGCCUGACGGAGCAACGCCGAGUGAGUGAUGAAGGUCUUCGGAUCGUAAAACUCUGUUAUUAGGGAAGAACCACUGUGUAAGUAACUAUGCACGUCUUGACGGUACCUAAUCAGAAAGCAACGGCUAACUACGUG
rnacentral:rRNA from 1 species